rnacentral:rRNA from 1 species
AGUGAACGCUGGCGGUAGGCCUAACACAUGCAAGUCGAACGGCAGCACAGAGGAGCUUGCUCCUUGGGUGGCGAGUGGCGGACGGGUGAGGAAUACAUCGGAAUCUACUCUGUCGUGGGGGAUAACGUAGGGAAACUUACGCUAAUACCGCAUACGACCUACGGGUGAAAGCAGGGGACCUUCGGGCCUUGCGCGAUUGAAUGAGCCGAUGUCGGAUUAGCUAGUUGGCGGGAUAAAGGCCCACCAAGGCGACGAUCCGUAGCUGGUCUGAGAGGAGGAUCAGCCAAACUGGAACUGAGACACGGUCCAGACUCCUACGGGAGGCAGCAGUGGGGAAUAUUGGACAAUGGGCGCAAGCCUGAUCCAGCCAUACCGCGUGGGUGAAGAAGGCCUUCGGGUUGUAAAGCCCUUUUGUUGGGAAAGAAAUCCAGCUGGCUAAUACCCGGUUGGGAUGACGGUACCCAAAGAAUAAGCACCGGCUAACUUCGUGCCAGCCGCCGCGGUAA